CCUUGUUCCUAUUCACUUGUGGGAGUGAUCUAUGGCUGUUGUGCAUUAGACAAUCAGGCAGCCCAGGGACCUGCAAAUGCCAUGGCCACCUAGGCUGAGUGUGGCAGAGGCUAGGAGGCAGGAGAGAUAGUUAGCAGAUGUGACUGGAACCCGACGCUUUAAGCCUGUCUCCAAACUACCCUACCGAACCAACCGAUUUCAUCCAGGCACAGCCUUUCACUGCUUCAGCCUCAGCACCUCAGCUGGAGUCAUUCAGGGGUUGUUCAGUUGAGACCUGUUGCUAAGGGACAAAGAGGCAAAAAGAAUUCAACAAAUAGUCAACCACAGGCCAAGAUCUGUGGUGUUUACUUACAGAAGUAUGCUCAGACCAGAUGACCAGAGACAUGCCAACCCAAGGGGACUUGGAAUUUCUGGAUUUGGAAGGCCACAAGACUCUAGAGAGAAAAGUGCCAAAGAGCUUCUCAUGGUGUACCAGCUGCUUCUUCCUGGUUCAGCAGACCCAUGCCAUUCAGAGGAGCCUUGCAGUUUCUUCUGGAUCAAGCCGCUGCUACUGAUUUAUGUUUGGUAUUUUGGACUGGACUGUUGUUCUGACAACAAAGACUGGAAUCGACCUAGAGAAUUACUUCUAAACAGGACCACAUCCCCCAUCGCCCAUUAAUCUUUCUUUUCCCUACCUCUGGUAGAUUGGCUAGAAGGGAGGUUGAAGAGUUUAAAAUUCCUUAUUAAAGUAGGUUUUGAAAAACCUAAACCUACAAAUUAUGAUUUAACUGGAAAUUUCAGAUGCAGGAAAAUUAAAAGAAAAACAAAACAAAACCUACAACCCCGGAUGUUUUGACUACGAACCUGCAGAAUUUAAUUUGUGUCAACAUUAUUUGGGUUACAAAAAAACAUGAUAGAGUUUGUGAAGCAAGAGUGAGUCGUGUCUGAAAAGGAAGUCAUUUUUAGCAUUCUGACAGGAGGAUGUGGUCUUCCAAAGUUAGAAAACUGUCACUUUUGGUAAAUGGAGCAACUAGCUUCCAGAGGAAAGGUCUUGAGUUGUUAGACAGGAAUUCUGAGUUCAAGUCCUAGGAUCUCCUUUGCUGAAGCAUUUGGACAAGUACCUUAUGUCUCUGAUUUUCAGUUGUUGUUGUUGUUUUGUAAGGGAGGGGUGAUUUUCUCAAGACAGGGUUUCUCUGAGUAGCCCUGGCCAUCUCAGAACUCACUUUGUAGACCAGGAAACUAUGUGCAGAUCUGCCUGCCUGCUACCGCCUCUUGGAGCUCUGGGAUUAAAGGCAUGUGUCACCUCGUCUGGCUUGCAUUUCGGCUUCCUUGAUAAUGUGGUAGGCAAGAUUCUAUCAGCAAUUUUGUGUGUCCUUUUCUGUGUUUGUGAUUGUGUGCUGUGUGCGUGAGUACGAGACAGUGCGUGUGAGUGGGAUGUGCAUGUGGCACCACAGAGAUCAGAAGUCAAUGUCAGCUGUCUUCCUCCAUUUC
ensembl:lncRNA